rnacentral:rRNA from 1 species
AUGAACGCUGGCGGCGUGCCUAAUACAUGCAAGUCGAGCGAACAGACGAGGAGCUUGCUCCUCUGACGUUAGCGGCGGACGGGUGAGUAACACGUGGAUAACCUACCUAUAAGACUGGGAUAACUUCGGGAAACCGGAGCUAAUACCGGAUAAUAUAUUGAACCGCAUGGUUCCAUAGUGAAAGACGGUUUUGCUGUCACUUAUAGAUGGAUCCGCGCCGCAUUAGCUAGUUGGUAAGGUAACGGCUUACCAAGGCAACGAUGCGUAGCCGACCUGAGAGGGUGAUCGGCCACACUGGAACUGAGACACGGUCCAGACUCCUACGGGAGGCAGCAGUAGGGAAUCUUCCGCAAUGGGCGAAAGCUUGACGGAGCAACGCCGCGUGAGUGAUGAAGGUCUUCGGAUCGUAAAACUCUGUUAUUAGGGAAGAACAAUUGUGUAAGUAACUAUGCACGUCUUGACGGUACCUAAUCAGAAAGCCACGGCUAACUACGUG